rnacentral:tRNA from 3 species
CAGUGAAUAGUUUAUAAAAAUAUUAAUUUUGGAGAUUAAUGAUAAAGUGAUACUUUUUCUCUGA